rnacentral:rRNA from 1 species
UACAGAGGUGGCAAGCGUUGUUCGGAAUUACUGGGCGUAAAGGGCGCGUAGGCGGUUCGUUAAGUCCUGUGUGAAAUCCCCCGGCUCAACUGGGGAAGCUGCACAGGAAACUAGCGGGCUUGAGUUCGGGAGAGGGAAGCGGAAUUCCGGGUGUAGCGGUGAAAUGGCGUAGAUAUCCGGAGGAACACCGGUGGCGAAGGCGGCUUCCUGGACCGACACUGACGCUGAGGCGCGAAAGCUAGGGGAGC